AAGCUUAGUAUGCAGUUCUCAAGGAAAAUGGUCAAGGAAAAUUUGAUCAAAUUACCAAAGUAAUUUGGACGGAAAUGCAGUCGAUAAAGUAGGCGAAUUCUCGUCUGUCAUCAAGCAGCUCAUUUCGUCGUAGGUGUUGUAAUGCUUGACUACCUCUCAGGGUCGUGGACUGACCAACCAGGUGGAAAUAAUCGGGUUGAUCGGAACUUAUCGUCGUCCUUGAGGAACUACGUGGACGACGUGCCGAUCGAGACACAUCGGACGGGUGCAGUGACCGUUCGGGUCGAGGCAGAAGAGAAGGAGCCUAGCUUCCUCACUCUCCCGUUCCUUGCUGGGAUGGUUGUUAACAGAAUUGCUCGUCGUGUGUGCCAUGGCGCCUUAAUCAAAAUGCCCUUUAUGUCCACAUGGAAGAUUAUUUCGAUAUGGCGCCGAAGACUCCUUCAAUGGGCGAGGAAACGGGUGGCUCCAGAGCCCAAACAGGGUUUGAUUCCGUGGAUGUGUAGAAAGGACCAGUUCAGAUGCUACACUGCAGAUAACUCUAUAAUAUCUUACUAGCGGAAUUAUACUUCUAGUACUGUAUGCUCAAGAUACUGCUCCAAUUGCUCGAGAUCCACUUCAUCGUGCGAUGUUUUGCCACUAGUUCUGCCUCCCCGUUCAUACGUUCUUAUUUGCGUCGUUCAAUGGGUUAGGCCAUUAAUGGAAGUUCAUUUUUUUUACUUAAAUUAUAGCUAUCAUUAUGUGCCUAUGAUGGUCUCAACAGAAUCGGAAUCGUCUCCAAAGUUUCAAAAUGUUUUAUAGAAGUUCCUGGGUUUUAUAAUGGGCUUGGGAAGUCUUAUGGUCGAUCUUUAACUCUGUGGUUGAACCUGGGCCAAUCUUAGCAUUUCAUCAGUUUUAAUUAUGUCAGAUUAAAAGAUUAUGUCGAGAUUAAACGAAAAAUCUAAUUAAAGCGUAUAAGUAAGCAAGUUUGAGAGUGAAGCGAAAAUGAUAAAAUGGUCCGCAAGUCGUCUUGAAGCCUUAAAGGCAUAGCAUAACUAUAAUUGUAUGGGUAUAGCUAUAAGAUUCAAUUUUCGGUGGCAAAAUAAAGCUUUAUCACGCCUAAUCCCUAACUAUUAGAAAAAAUUAUCGAGAAUAAAGCCAAUGAAAGAUUGUAUGCAUACCAUUGUUAUAAUUUGUGGUGUUUUUAGUUAUGCCUCAUUUGAGUGAGACAUAACAAAAUAAUACAGGCGUCACGUUCCUAGUUUUAAUAAAACUUUUACUCAGUGAAUCUAA